rnacentral:snRNA from 1 species
GUACUUACCUGGCAGGGGAGAUACCAUGAUCACGAAGGUGGUUUUCCCAGGGCAAGGGCACGGAUUGCAUGGAGCACUGGGUGUGGUGCAAAAACAAUGAAUACCGUUACGCU